GCCUUCGUGGUGUAAUGGUCAGCACACUGAGCCGGUAUUUCAGAGGUCCGUGGUUCGAUUCCCAGUGAAGGAA
rnacentral:tRNA from 1 species